GUGCUCGCUUCGGCAGCACAUACACUAAAAUUGGAAUAAUACAGAGAUUAGCAUGGCCCCUGCCAAGGACGACACGCAAAUCCGUGAAGCGUCCUAUAUUUCU
ensembl:snRNA U6 U6 spliceosomal RNA